rnacentral:pre_miRNA from 1 species
UUCGCCUGGGGAUCUUGUUAAAAUGCAGAUUCUGAUUCAGUAGGUGCUGGGCUAGGGCCUGAGACUCUGCAUUUCUCACAGGCUCCCAGGUGAUGCUAG